UACAGUUAGGUGCUUAAAUA
rnacentral:piRNA from 1 species